rnacentral:rRNA from 1 species
UACGUAGGGCGCAAGCGUUAUCCGGAAUUAUUGGGCGUAAAGAGCUCGUAGGCGGUUUGUCGCGUCUGCCGUGAAAGUCCGGGGCUCAACUCCGGAUCUGCGGUGGGUACGGGCAGACUAGAGUGAUGUAGGGGAGACUGGAAUUCCUGGUGUAGCGGUGAAAUGCGCAGAUAUCAGGAGGAACACCGGUGGCGAAGGCGGGUCUCUGGGCAACAACUGACGCUGGAGGAGCGAAAGCGUGGGGAGCGAACAGG